AAGGUUCUUCAUGUUCAUUGUGUGUCUCAUUCACUGCAAAUAUCUCAAUUACAAAUGUAUUGUGUAAUCAGUUGCUCUGUGCCUUCCAGUGGUGCAAGAAAAAAAUCAGCAUGGCAAUCAAAUUCAAGCGUACAUAUUUUUUCAUUCUCAAAUGGCUGUUCUUUUGCUGCAUAAGUGUGGUCUGAAUGUUCAUCUAACAAGAGUUCUCCUUUGACUUCUUCUGAUGUAAUAGAAAUUUCCUCAGAACGUACAAACUCGACCAGAGAUGUGUCAUAAUUGGAUGAUCCUUUUCAUCUUCAGUGUGGAUUGAAACUGCAACAGAUAUCUCCUCCAUAAUGGUAUCAACAGCUGUCCAUGGUCGAGGAUUACCUUUCUUUUUAACUCCUUUUGUUAACUUACUACAUCUUUUCCUCUUUUGGCAUUCUAAAUUAAAAAAAAAAAUAUUUUAGAGUUGAAAAGAAAUUUGAAUUUGUAGAGCCUAUUAUACAACAUCUAUUUGUCUUACUUUUAAACUUUACUUCCUACAUGUAUGUCAUACAACAUUCUGCAGGUUUUUAUUAUGCUAAAUCUAUUUUAAAUUUCAUUUUGUCAUGUAUGGACCUUUCAAGCUUGCUAUUAGGAACAAAUAUUUGAUAUAUUUGUCAAUUGUUAAACAUCGUACAGUGAACAUACAAUGUAAGUUGCUGACAUCAACUUUACUUAGUCUCUGCUUCUAUCUCAUGAGGGUCUGGAAGCAGGGGCGGAUCAACCCAGGAUAAAGGGGGGUUCCAACCACAUGUCCCCAUUCAAAUUCAUUGAUCAUCCAAAAAAAGGGGCUGGAUCCGCCAAUGGGAAGGUGUUUACAAAAGGUAAACGGACAGAAAGUCACAGGACAUAAAGUCACAAAUUUGGUAGGACAAAAAGUCACAAAUAAUCUGUUGACAAUUGUUUGUAUAUAUAAGAGAAAUAUCUUUAAAUAUUUACUUUUUAAUACAUAUAUUCAUAUUAAAGUUUAAUAAAUGUGUCAUUAUAUUUGAAAAAUG
rnacentral:lncRNA from 1 species